rnacentral:rRNA from 1 species
UACGGGGGGAGCAAGCGUUGUUCGGAGUUACUGGGCGUAAAGGGUGUGUAGGCGGUUCUUUAAGUUUGGUGUGAAAUCUCCCGGCUCAACCGGGAGGGUGCGCCGAAUACUGAGGGACUAGAGUACGGGGGAGGAAAGUGGAAUUCCUGGUGUAGCGGUGAAAUGCGUAGAUAUCAGGAGGAACACCGGUGGUGUAGACGGCUUUCUGGACCGUAACUGACGCUGAGACACGAAAGCGUGGGUAGCAAACAGG